AACGAACGCUGGCGGCACGCCUAACACAUGCAAGUCGAGCGGCAGCGCGAUAUGUAGCAAUACAUAUUGGCGGCGAGCGGCGGACGGGUGAGGAACACGUAGGAACCUACCCUCGAGUGGGGGAUAACCAAGGGAAACUUUGGCUAAUACCGCAUGAAUUCGAGAGAGCAAAGCUGCCGCAAGGUGGCGCUCGAGGAGGGGCCUGCGUCCGAUUAGCUAGUUGGUGAGGUAAGAGCUCACCAAGGCGAUGAUCGGUAACUGGUCUGAGAGGACGACCAGUCACACUGGGACUGAGACACGGCCCAGACUCCUACGGGAGGCAGCAGUGGGGAAUAUUGGACAAUGGGGGCAACCCUGAUCCAGCGAUGCCGCGUGAGUGAAGAAGGCCUUCGGGUCGUAAAGCUCUUUAGGUUGGGAAGAAGGGUGAUGGAGGAAAUGCUAUCACUUUGACGGUACCGACAGAAUAAGCACCGGCAAACUCUGUGCCAGCCGCCGCAGUAACAC
rnacentral:rRNA from 1 species